AGAGUUUGAUCCUGGCUCAGAUUGAACGCUGGCGGCAUGCUUUACACAUGCAAGUCGAACGGCAGCAUGACCUAGCUUGCUAGGUUGAUGGCGAGUGGCGAACGGGUGAGUAAUACAUCGGAACGUACCCAAUAGUGGGGGAUAACGCAGCGAAAGCUGUGCUAAUACCGCAUACGUCCUACGGGAGAAAGCGGGGGAUCUUCGGACCUCGCGCUAAUGGAGCGGCCGAUGUCAGAUUAGCUAGUUGGUGGGGUAAAGGCCCACCAAGGCGACGAUCUGUAGCUGGUCUGAGAGGAUGAUCAGCCACACUGGGACUGAGACACGGCCCAGACUCCUACGGGAGGCAGCAGUGGGGAAUUUUGGACAAUGGGGGCAACCCUGAUCCAGCCAUGCCGCGUGAGUGAAGAAGGCCUUCGGGUUGUAAAGCUCUUUCGCAAGGGAAGAAAACUUAGCCACUAA
rnacentral:rRNA from 1 species